rnacentral:rRNA from 1 species
AUUGAACGCUGGCGGCGUGCCUAACACAUGCAAGUCGAGCGGUAACAGGUGUAGCAAUACAUGCUGACGAGCGGCGAACGGGUGAGUAAUGCUUCGGAAUCUACCUUAUGGUGGGGAAUAACUAGCCGAAAGGUUAGCUAAUACCGCAUACGUCCUACGGGAGAAAGCAGGGGAUCGCAAGACCUUGCGCCAAAAGAUGAGCCGAAGUCGGAUUAGCUAGUUGGUAGGGUAACGGCCUACCAAGGCGACGAUCCGUAGCUGGUCUGAGAGGACGACCAGCCACACUGGGACUGAGACACGGCCCAGACUCCUACGGGAGGCAGCAGUGGGGAAUAUUGGACAAUGGGGGAAACCCUGAUCCAGCGACGCCGCGUGUGUGAAGAAGGCCUGCGGGUUGUAAAGCACUUUUAGUGGGGAUGAAAUGUGCAGGGCUAACAC